rnacentral:rRNA from 1 species
AACGAACGCUGGCGGCAGGCUUAACACAUGCAAGUCGAGCGCCCCGCAAGGGGAGCGGCAGACGGGUGAGUAACGCGUGGGAACGUACCCUUUACUACGGAACAACUCCGGGAAACUGGAGCUAAUACCGUAUGUGCCCUUUGGGGGAAAGAUUUAUCGGUAAAGGAUCGGCCCGCGUUGGAUUAGCUAGUUGGUGGGGUAAAGGCCUACCAAGGCGACGAUCCAUAGCUGGUCUGAGAGGAUGAUCAGCCACAUUGGGACUGAGACACGGCCCAAACUCCUACGGGAGGCAGCAGUGGGGAAUAUUGGACAAUGGGCGCAAGCCUGAUCCAGCCAUGCCGCGUGGAUGAUGAAGGCCUUAGGGUUGUAAAGUUCUUUCACCGGAGAAGAUAAUGACGGUAUCCGGAGAAGAAGCCCCGGCUAACUUCGUGCCAGCCGCCGCGGUAAAAC